rnacentral:rRNA from 1 species
GAAGGUCCGGGCGUUAUCCGGAUUUAUUGGGUUUAAAGGGAGCGUAGGCCGCCUUUUAAGCGUGUUGUGAAAUGUAGGGGCUCAACCUCUGCACUGCAGCGCGAACUGGAGGGCUUGAGUACACGCAAAGCAGGCGGAAUUCGUGGUGUAGCGGUGAAAUGCUUAGAUAUCACGAAGAACUCCGAUUGCGAAGGCAGCUUGCUGGAGUGUAACUGACGCUGAAGCUCGAAAGCGCGGGUAUCGAA